UGACUACACACAAUGGGGCGGAACUAAUAUGUGUUCCCCGUUUCCUUUAGGGAGCGGUUUCGGUGUAGCCAUCCGGAACAAAGAUGGCGGCUCACUGUCCCCAAAAUGUAAACACGGCAGCCAGCCUAGCAAGGCUAAUGGUUUAUAAUUGUGCCCUGUUAAUUCAUUAUUGUCCCAAUGCAGCCCAGCUGGACAGGGGGAGAAAAUUCGCUCCAACGAUUGGUGUGUUUGAGAGGGGGAGCAUUAUAUAUAUGCUGGAGAUGCGUCUUGUCAGAGAGAGGACCAGGGAGCCAGACACCACACGGGCUGUGCUUGCAGAGAGGACGGACGACCGGAGAAGACUGCCGAGACGGACAACGGACAGAAGAAGCCGGGCCUCACGAAGGAGAAGUGGGAGAAUAUCGACAGCUAAGUAGACUACCCCUGGAGCUUAUGAAUGCUGCAACGAAUGAGUAUGUCCUGGCUCUCACGCCACUUGGAGAAAGAACAGCAUCAUCAGACAGGACACCAGAGACUAGAACUUAGAACUAAGAAAAUCUUUGACAUCACCUGAAGACCAGGGGGAGUGUGUGUAUGUGCGUGUGUGUGUGAGAGUGUGUGUGUGUGUGUGCAUUGGUCAUCUCAAAUAUUUGCUAUGUAACGAAUCAAUACUGUUUUAAUUCUGCUUUGCGUGGGUGUAUCGAAGCUUUUUGUGUGUUGUGAUGUUACGACCCCCAGCUCGUUUAGGGGGUGCAACAUGAAAAGGAGACCACACAAAGAAUGAAAGUUCAAAUGUAUUUUUAUUGAACUAUAAUAAUAAAUUCAAACAGGUGUCUAGGGGAUGCAUGAAUGGGUGUAUGCAAGUGAAUGGUGUAUGCAAUGUAUGUGUCAGUAUCAAUAUGUGAGCUGUAAAGGAAGAAUUAAAAGGGUGAGGGUAAAGACGUGAGAGGAGAGCAAGAAAUGAAAGCAGCCAGUGGUGAGGUCGAGGUCAGAGUGCCUGCCAUCGGAAGAGGAGAGGAGGACUUUAUACCUCCCCACAGGUGAAACCACUAAAUGAUUAGGGUAACCCCCAUCAAGCAUAGUCAUGCCCGUGCACUGGCACACACUAGCCUGAAGGGGGCACAGGGGGACGUCACACCUCCCACCUUAAAAAGAGGUUGACUACAACCUCAACAACAAAAAGUGAAAAACCACACCUCCAACCAAUUUCCUGGAUCCAAGGGAAAACUGGAGAGAGCAUGAAAAAAAAACAAAAAAAGUGAAACACACAUCAAAACCACAAUCCUAUAUCUAAACUACACACGAGACAAGGCAUCGGCAACGAUAUUAUCCUUGCCUCGAAUGUGUUUUAUCCUUAAGGGAUACUGCUGGAGGAGAAUACUCCACCGCAUAAUGCGUUGAUUCUUAUUCCGCAUUCUGUCAAUAAAGACCAAAGGAUUAUGAUCUGUAUAAACAUCAGUGGGGCUAGAGGAAGACCCCACAUAGACCUCAAAAUUUUGCAUGGCCAAAAUCAAAGCUAGAGCCUCCCUUUCCACAGUAGAAUAGGCCCGUUGAUGACGAUUGAACUUUUUGGAAUAAUAGCACACAGGGUGCUCGACACCAUCACAGUCCAGUUGAAGUAAAACAGCGCCAGCGCCACUCUCACUGGCGUCCACUGCAACACAAAAGGGACGGUCAAAAUUCGGGGCAGACAAAACAGGAGAGGUAGCAAGCAAAGCUUUGACAUGUUCAAAGGCCUCUUGACAAUUUGGUGACCAUUCAAAUGGAACUUUAGGACUAAGGAGACCAGUAAGGGGUGUAACCACGGUGGCAAAAUUCUUGCAGAAUGCUCUGUAGUAGCCAGCCAUCCCAAGGAAUCGCCGGAGCUCUCGGCGGGUUCCUGGUACAGGGUAAUUGCAGAUGGCCUCAAUUUUCGCUUCCACAGGACGGACCUGCCCACCACCCACUACCUUGCCCAGAUAAGUGACACUAGCCUUCC